rnacentral:lncRNA from 1 species
GCCACAUUCCCAUCCCCCUCUCCCCUGCCUUUUCUAUCUGGAGACAGGGUCUCUCAAAGUUGCUGAGGACCUUUCAAAGCUGCUGAGGCUGGUCUUGAACUUGCAAUCCUCCUGUCUCAGAUACCCAAGACUCUGGGAUUACACACCAUGCCAUGUUCCCCUUAGCCUUUUCAGUCAGGAACUCCACAACUCCCCAGGGCAGGCCCUCCAAGACUCUGUGUACCCCCAGGGUUCCCUGCCACUUUGUGGGUUGAGGGGCUGAUGCUCUGAGGCCAGCUGCAGGGGUCAGCCAUUUAGACAUGCUGAGUAGACUCUGAUUUUGACCCACUUAAGCACAUACCAACCAAAGUCUGAAACUUCAGAAAACAGCAGGGCCGAUCACCAGGGAAAUACAGAUCUCAGGACAGCCCUAACCAAGGGGAGGAAAGUCAGACCAUGAUUCCCACUCUUGUUCACAGAGGCAGAGAUGGGAAUCAGGCAUGGGGGGCUCUGGUUAUGGGGGGCUCCGGUUAUGGGGACUACCAGUCCUGUGGAGCUGCAGUGGCUGAGAAGGGACGCCUGGAGACGACAGAACACAGCAUUCUCCUUUACACUGCCCCCCCCACCCCGAACAUAAAAGUGACAGAUGCCAAGCUUUUGCUAGAGUAAGUGGGUGUCCAAAGGGCAAGGGUGGACCAGGGCAGGUAUACCAAGAGGCCUCAACUCCUCAGGAACAGGCUGCGGAUAGCACCUCCCAACCUGGGGUCCACCAGUAAGUCCCCACAACUACGUCCACGUAAGGAGAGAGAAAUGGCCCAACAAUGUUGAGGGUCUUUAACCAACACACGACUCAGCUUGGCCUUCAGGCUCAGGCCCUCCAGCCAACAGCAGGAGUGUGAGAAGCUUCACUCAGGAGAGACCCCCAGCACGGAGGGAAAACCCAAGGAGGCCUCUGCCCACCCACCUGGCCCCACCUGCCCUUGCUGAGCCGGCCCUGUGCUCUGGCCUCAGCAUCAACCCCGCUCGGGAGAGUGGGCUCUUAGCUACAUUUUUUCUUUCCUCUCCCUCAUUUGUGGCUUAUCAAUGAUGCAAGAGGAAUAACACCAAUUUCCUUAGGCCGUGUAAUCCCCAAAUCAGAUUGGGGGGAUUGUGGGAGAUGAGGUGACCUUGCACAGGGCUCCCGGAAUGCCACCCAGUCCCACCAGCCGUUCUCCCGUU